rnacentral:rRNA from 1 species
UACGGGGGGGGGUAAGCGUUGUUCGGAAUUACUGGGCGUAAAGGGCUCGUAGGUGGCCAACUAAGUCAGACGUGAAAUCCCUCGGCUUAACCGGGGAACUGCGUCUGAUACUGGUUGGCUUGAGUGUGGGAGAGGGAUGCGGAAUUCCAGGUGUAGCGGUGAAAUGCGUAGAUAUCUGGAGGAACACCGGUGGCGAAGGCGACAUCCUGGACCGGUAUUGACGCUGAGGCGCGAAAGCGUGGGGUAGCAAACAGG